rnacentral:rRNA from 1 species
ACGUGAGUAACCUGCCCUUGACUCUGGGAUAAGCGUUGGAAACGACGUCUAAUACCGGAUACGACCCGUGGAGGCAUCUCCUACGGGUGGAAAGAAUUUUGGUUGAGGAUGGACUCGCGGCCUAUCAGCUUGUUGGUGAGGUAAUGGCUCACCAAGGCGACGACGGGUAGCCGGCCUGAGAGGGUGACCGGCCACACUGGGACUGAGACACGGCCCAGACUCCUACGGGAGGCAGCAGUGGGGAAUAUUGCACAAUGGGCGAAAGCCUGAUGCAGCAACGCCGCGUGAGGGACGACGGCC